GCUCGCUUGGCUCAGUGGUAGAGCGUAUCACUAGUAUAGCCGCUAUGAUAAGGUCGUCAGUUCGAUUCUGACAGUGAGCA
rnacentral:tRNA from 1 species